CUCGUUUUUGCAAACGUGCCAUGUUUGCAUUGCAGCAAUGGCGAGUGCGCAUUGCUCUGUCUUCUCCUUCUAUGCACCUUCCCCUACGAGACGAAACACUUUGAUUAUAGUCUCUUCAAAAACUAGUAACAGGAAAAAUUAUUUACGACCAAAAAUUCUCAAAACCCUAAUUAAACCCUCUAUUCGUCUACAACCAUCGCCAUUACAGAACAUCGUUUCCCCUCCUCAAGAACACGACCUCCGUGUUAAUGUUCCCACCGAAGAUACGCACGGCGAAAAUGUCACCGGUACUGUUGAAGAAACUGGUGAAUUGGAAGAUUUACAAGUCUCUGUGGAGACAGCCAAAAACAAUGGCGUUUUUGGCAAUGUUUCUGCCAAGAACAUCUUCAAAUACGGUGGUAUGUAUUUGAUUGGGGCUUUUGUGUUUCAAACGGUUUCUUACUUUUGGAGUUUAAGAAAUCAACAUUCUAACGUGAAAAAUGAGGAUUUAGAUGUAGGUGAAAGGGAAAAGAUGAACAUUUUGUUCGGGAAUGGGAACAAUGUGGAGGGUCAAGUUGGAAUCGAAAAGAAAGUAGAGGAAAUUAAGUUAAUGGCGAGGGAAGUUCGGAGAAUCGAGUUAGAGAAGAAAGGGGAAGAGGACGAGGAUGGGGAUCCUGAAAUUGAUGAUGAAAUUGGUAUUGAGAAAGAGAUUAACGCGCGCCUAUUGAAGCUGCGGGAUAAGGUAAACAGUAACAAGGAUAGUUCAGCAGCGUUGCGAUUAAAUGGUGGUGGAAAUUCUGCUGGUGAUGGUGAUGUGAAUGUGAAUAAGGGAAAAGAGACAUCGGUGUUUAAGAAAAGGUCUAAAUUUAAAAGCCCUUCAACUAAGGGUAUGAAAACUCCUAAGGGCUUUUCAGGGACCCAAGGUCGUAGGGUAUCUAGUGUAAAAACUCAAGAUUAUGGAAUUGUUGAUGGCACUGAUCCUGCAGGAAAGUUACAUGAGGAUAAGCAAGUGAAUCAACAAGAUGUGAUACUCAAAAAUACUUCCCGUGUUACCUCGGAUGAAAGUGAAGGAAAAUUUAUCAGUGACGAGUCCAUAGAGAAUCUAAAUCAUGAGAAUUUGGAAGAAAAGAUGGAGACACCAAAUAUGAAAAUAAAAGAUGGAUCUGAGACCAAGAGCAUAGACAAUGGUGGUUUCAAGGAGACUAGUGUUGGGAUGUCUUCACCUGAAGUUAUACAGUCAAGAGACUCAAGAGAAUUGAGGACACAAAACCCUCAGGGUUUUGUGAAAGGAAACCAGGAUACUGGUCCAAUUUUGGAAAAGGAUAAUCUGCAUGGUAUAAAUGGCAGUUCAGGACAUGGAUUAACUAAAAAAAACUCAGCGGCUAACGAAGUCCAAGUUAAACAAGCUAACACUAGGACUGAUAUGUGGUGGCUGAACCUACGUUAUGUUCUAGUUAUUCUCAUGGAAAGUGGCUCCGACGGAGAAGGUCCAAAAGGUCUCUAUAGCUUAAAGCUCACCUCUAAGGAACCGGAACAGAGUGGUGAUUCCUAUACUGUUGCUUUUGAGGAUCACGCUGAUGCCAAUAACUUCUGUUUUCUACUAGAAUCCUAUUUUGAAGAUUUGGACGAUUUUAGUGCCAAUGUUGUUCCCAUGUCAAUACAAGAUUUGCAGGAAGAAAUAAUAUCACAUGAGGAUAAAGUAGUAGUUGUAAAAAAGAAGCAGCUUCAACUCUAUGCCGGGCAACUACUUACUGAUGUUGAGAUGGCGUUGUGCUCUAUAAUAGAACAAGAUCAAAAUAUGCCAUAAUUGGUGAUAUCUGAGAUGAGUGAUGCUUUAUCAAAUCCCACAAAGAAUGUCCAUAGUGAAGAAACAGUCAUUCCAACCAUCAGUGGACAAUGAAAAUUCAGUGCAUCAUUUCCACCAAAAUCAAAAGUUGGAGUUGAUGUCCAUAGUGAAGAGUGCUUGUCACUACUACUGGCUGAACCUGGUGUCAGUGCAACAGGAAGAUCAUGUCCAGUACACAAAGCUAGAGGUUGGAGCAAUUGGAUUUGGAAGACAAUCUUUCCUUCACCAGCCAGUGGGGGUAAAGGUGUGUGUCACCAAUGUUGAUAACUUGCAGAAGUUUUGGCGAUGGUUUUUUGGAGGGUAAAAUUCAGUUGAUAUAGAAAGUGUACCUAAUAUGUAAAUUCAAUUGAUGGAGGAUAAAAUAGAGUGAGGUAUUUUCCUGUCAAAAAAAUAAAAUAAAAUAGUGAGGCAUUCAAAGCA